UACGUAGGGUGCAAGCGUUAAUCGGAAUUACUGGGCGUAAAGCGUGCGCAGGCGGUUUUGUAAGUCUGUCGUGAAAGCCCCGGGCUCAACCUGGGAAUUGCGAUGGAGACUGCAAGGCUUGAAUCUGGCAGAGGGGGGUAGAAUUCCACGUGUAGCAGUGAAAUGCGUAGAGAUGCGGAGGAACACCGAUGGCGAAGGCAGCCCCCUGGGCUAACACUGACGCUCAGGCACGAAAGCGUGGGGAGCAAACAGG
rnacentral:rRNA from 1 species